rnacentral:rRNA from 1 species
GACGAACGCUGGCGGCGCGCCUAACACAUGCAAGUCGAACGGAGAAAGAGACAGCUUGCUGGAUCUUUCUUAGUGGCGGACGGGUGAGUAACACGUGAGCAACCUGCCCCUCAGAGUGGAAUAACGUUUGGAAACGAACGCUAAUACCGCAUAACACCAUUGGAUGGCAUCAUUUGAUGGUCAAAGAUUUAUCGCUGAGGGAUGGGCUCGCGUCCGAUUAGGUAGUUGGUGAGAUAACAGCCCACCAAGCCGACGAUCGGUAGCCGGACUGAGAGGUUGAACGGCCACAUUGGGACUGAGACACGGCCCAGACUCCUACGGGAGGCAGCAGUGGGGGAUAUUGCACAAUGGGGGAAACCCUGAUGCAGCGACGCCGCGUGAGGGGAAGACGGUUUUUCGGAUUGUAAAACCUCUGUCUUCGGGGGACGAACAAAUGACGGUACCCGAGGAGGAAGCCACGGCUAACUACGUG